GGCAAUAUAAAAUAUCUGAUCUUAAUUGGAUUAUCUAGAUCCACAACACUAUAAUUGUGUAAAUUAAAUACACACAAUUUUUUUUACAAAAUCUAUGAAACAAUAAUUAUUUUCAUUUGCUCUACCAAAAGAAAGAUCGGACACUGAUUAUCUAUUGUCAAGAUAACCACUAAUUCCCGCAUUUAUAUGAUCAUAAUUAUUCAAUCUUAUUCAAAGAUUUGGU
rnacentral:lncRNA from 1 species